GCCGAUUGGGGCACACCAGCUCCCCAAUCCGCAUGGCACCAAAGAAUGCCAGGGAAAAGGCCAGGCGAAAAAGCCAAACCUCGAAAUCCGAAUGGCAAAUCCCGUGCAGCGCCUCACACAACGAGGUUAAGAGUGUGCCCGAGACAGGACGCCUCGAAUCCCGUGUAGACACCCUACCUCGCCUCAAACCCUUCAGCACCUGGCGUACAAGAAACGCCUUG